AAUAUCAAACUCACCCCACAAGUGAAGAAGGAACAUAUUAAUAUUGUCACGCCAAGUGUGAAAUUAAAAUAAGUUAAAUCAAGUUAUUCAAAUAGUUUAUGGCAAACACAAUCAAUUUUCAAAAUCAAAUUUCCAUUCACAAGUAGCAACAUAGUAGUUCUCAAAACCCAUAAUUAAUACAAUAAUUUCACAAUGCAUAACUAAACAAAUUUUCUAUGAGAAAACGAUAAAUUAAGGUUUAUUGUGCACAAACCUGACGUGAGUCGCCUCUAGGCCU
rnacentral:misc_RNA from 1 species